AUGUGUAUCCUGAAGUAUCUCUGGAUUGGAGGAACCCCUGUGUUACAUACUCAGAAAAGAGGCAUUUUGGAACAGAAGCUACUGUUUUGGUUUCAUAAAGGGCACUGGGAUCCUCACUGUCAAGUAACUGGAUUGAUGAGAGCURUAGUACACAAUACUAUGCACAUGCUCAAGCAGAUACAUAAAUGUGGUAUUGAAGGUGAGAAAGAAGACAAAGCUCUGCGGAUGAGAGAGAGAGAGAGAGACAGACAGACAGACAAGGAUGAGGGUAGCGGAGUGCUCCUCUGRCUCCUGUCUUGUGUGAGUACAUAGCUGUACUGAAGUCUUCCAACAAUUCAACUUGAGUCCCGGUUUCAUGGGUGCAUUUCCAGGAUGGCCUGCUCGGACGGCCCGCGGCGGCGGCGCCUCCGUCCCCUGGGUGCUGCAGCCUCUGAGCAGUUCUGGGGUUUCCGUCCUUGGUGAGGGCUGGUUUCCGACUGCACAACCGCAUUGGAUCCUGUCUCCUUCUGGUGAUGGGAAAACCGCUUGAAGGAGCUACAUGGAGGUUUGAUGCCCAAUGYUCUCUGCUAGUUCAGUUAGCAGAGAACAGGCCUGCGCAUCCUCUCCCUAACCAUGCACCUUGCUCGAGGUGGUGGCAGCUUUUUCCCCACACCGUGCCUUGAACGGAGGGAAGUUCAGCUUGGCGACUGCAGGAUGGGGCUUGGAGAGGUUUUUUGGCAGGAGAGAGUCAUGCUGUGAGCCGGCAGAGCUGGCACCGGCUGCUUUCAGCUGAUUAAUUGAGAGCAUUUUAAUUUGAUUGGGUCGCCUCUCCUGCCCGCUGCCGGGAUCGCUCCUGUCUUGCGUGCCGGAGGGCCUGUGCUGGAUGCGAGUCUGGCAUCCUCCUGCCUGUCCCGAAAAUUAGUG
ensembl:lncRNA